rnacentral:misc_RNA from 1 species
UCGUUUAGAGUUUCACUUGCUCUUUUAUUCAGGAAGAUUCGUAUCAUGUCAGACUCGCAUCUAACCUAAAUUAUUGCGCUCUCCUAUAACUCAACAAUGACACGAAAAAUUGAAAAACAAUCGAUUACAUCUCAAUUAUUGUAUCGAAUUUAACGCAUAGUACCGAAAUUGCUCAAUUAAAUUUUCGAUUGAAUCCAGUAAUCCACCUCCGAGAAAACUAACUAAAAAAUGUAUUUUGCAAUAAGCUCAAUACCCGUUUCGUCUGAAC